rnacentral:rRNA from 1 species
UGAGCAAUCUGCCCUUCUCUUCGGAAUAAGCGUUGGAAACGACGUCUAAUGCCGAAUACGACCUCCUUUCGCAUGAUCGGAGGUGGAAAGCUCCGGCGGAGAAGGAUGAGCUCGCGGCCUAUCAGCUAGUUGGUGUGGGUAACGCUCACCAAGGCAACGAUGCGUAGCCGACUGAGGAGGGUGACGUCCGGACCACUAGUUGGAACUGGAGACCGACCGGUACCAGACCC